GCCGUAGCACAGCUGUCCGCCUGCCACCACCUCCACUGGCAACGCUUGGAGGGGACAAGAAGGACCCUUCUCAAACUGCGGCACACCCCAAGGCACCGGGAACAAGUCGACAGACACGAAAGGAGUCUUGCCUUGUCUCUGGCUUCAGCCACUCAAGCGGUCUGUCCCAGGUGCCAUGUGUGAUGCAGCCCGCAUGGGGACAUGGCGGGGAGAAGACAGGUCUGCCCCUGCCCUCGGGGGGCUUACGGCCAGCCCAGCCCCCAGGACAGCAGUGGCACGGAGCUGGGGCGUUCCGGCUGUCGCCACAUGGUUUAGAUUUCUUCCCAAACUCAGGAGCUUUUUUGGUAAACAUUUAAAUGAGGCCCAGAAAGAGCUUAGUGGCAGAGUGUUACGAUGCUACAGUGUUUAUAAGGGAUAAUGAAGACACAGGGCUGGGUGCGGGUACGUCCGCCUCCCCACCAGAGGUGACUCCAUGGGGGAGGAGGGGACAGUGGGCACACGAGGGAAGGCAGGGCCGAGGGACCAGCAUGUGCAAACUCCGGGAAUCCAAAAGGGUACUGCAUAUUUGGGAAGAGCUUUCAAACCAGAAACCUGGGUUGAGUUCCCAAAUGACUUGUCUGUGUUCUGUGGUCUGCCUUUAAUGAGAUUCUGAACAAUUCCCGGCUGAGAAGCUUUAAAAAGUAAAAAAAAAAAAAAAAAAACCAAAAUAAACAAACGAUGCCCUGGGCUCCAGCCCAGACCAAAUCACGCCCCCUCUCAGGCACCCAGGCACUGCCCUGUUCAAAAAGCCCCACAGGUGAGACUAUAGGGCCCUGCCGUCCAAUGAGGCGGCCGCUGGCUACUGAGCACCCGAGUGUGUGAGCCCAAACCGAUUGUGCUGCGUGUCCCACACACUUAGCAGGAGGAAGAGAACGUACGUAAACUGUCUCAUUCGUAAUUUGUAGAGUGAUUACAUGUUGAAAUGGUUAUAUUUUGGAGACACUGGGCUAAAGAAAAUAUAUGGUUUAAAUGAA